GAACCUUUCAAUUUUAGCCAGACACAUGCAUCCUAUCUGUGUUCCUUACAUCUAGGGAAAGCCACGUAACUACAUAUGGCCCAUGAUGACAUCUAGAAAAGAGUUUCCCAUGGACUAGAAGGCAGAUGAUGGCUGAAACUCAGUGGCUGUCUUGAACCAUGAGAUGUGUUCCUACAAGAAGAGAAAGAUCUCCCAGUAAUCAUAAAAGAGGCUUUACUGCAAGAGGAGGCUAAGCAGAGGCCAGUCCUGUGGCAAAUGGGAUCAUCUGCAGCUCUGGCAAGAUUCUACCUGCCUAGAAUCAGAUGACCGGGAUAGAAGGACCUGAGAAGGACAUGGAAUUUGGACCCAGCUCUGAGAAUCAUGUUAGGCUACAGUCAUGGGCUUGGUUUGGGACUUAGAAACCAAGUUAGCUUCUCAGUGUGGAAAGCGACCAUGCCACCUGCAGAGUGCCUGGCUGAAUUUCACCCAUGGUAGACAUCCAACAGCUUCUGGGCCAACAGGCAACCACCCAAAGGGAGCGGACAGGUUGCUGGAUCUGUUUCCUCUGAAAUGCAGCUGUGUCCAGUGUGAAGUAGACGAAGACACCAUCAGGGUUGGAAGUGGCCUCGGGGACUAGAUGGGGAAGGAGCCUCUUUUCUGAGAAGGAUAUGGCAAAGGUGGGAGGGAUACUGUGUGGUGUUCCCAGCAGAGACUCCAGGCUACCUCAAUUCUUCAGGUCCUUGGAUGUGACUGACAGCCAGCAUUCUAUGUGAUGGGUCAGCGAGCCUGACAGCCUCCCUGUUCCCUACGAGCAACAUCCAGACUGCCUCUCAAACAACACAGGUGGGAGACUGUUGCCUCUCAGGCAGCUCAGGUGGAAGGGACUCCCUUCUGCUUUUUAGGGCCUGGUAUUGAAUCGGAGAACUAGUCUUUAUCAAACGGGCCUGGAAUGAAUUUUACAGGUUGUGCUAAGAUCUUUUAAAUCCAAAAAGCUAGAAUUGGGUGACUUGCCAAAUCAAAGAGGCCAAAUGCAGAUAAAGCAUCCCAAAUUCGGGGUUGGGGAAGUAGCUCAAUUGGUAGAUUACUUUCUUAGCAUGCAGGAAGCCCUGGGUUCAGUCACCAAUUCUUAACAACCAGGGGUGAAGAUACACACCUAUAGUCCUAGCACUAGGGAGGAGGAAACAGGAGGAUCAGAAGUUUAAGGCCAGCCUUGAACAUAGUAAAUUCAAGGCCAAUGUAGGCUAAGGAGGCUCUUUCUCAAAAACAAACAAACAAACAAACAAACAAACAAAAACAAACAUGGAAAAGCCCCGUGAUAGGGAAUCAGGAACAUGCCAGCCAGAUACUAUCGAAACAGACAGCAAGUGAAGUGACACUUGCUCUCAGUGACUGUGGCCACUGUGGCUUGUAAGCCAGUCAGUUGAACUCUUGGCAAGGUGCUAAAGACAGAAAUCCAGCAGUCCAUCUCCCGAGAUCAAUACAGCAACUCUCAGCGUGGCUGGUCUACCCGUGACUACACACUGAUGGGGAGAUGGCAUUAGCUGGAACCCCUACAACCCCCAGGGCAGUCUGGAUGGCACAGCCUGUUAUGCUGGAUGGAAUAGGGAUGUUUAUCCCCCUGAUUUCUCCAGCCUCCUUUGGAUGCAGCCCGAUAUUAUACAGUUAGCUCUCUGCUCAGGUUAUGGUAUCUGGAAUGUCUGUUACUUAUCCCCCCAACUGGUGGCAGUGUAAUGAGGUGCCCCUCUAGGAGAUAGGGUGUGGUUAGUCACCAAAGUAGCCUUUGAAAGUUUUUGCUCUGCCCCUAGCUCUGGUACUCUGCUGGCUCACCACCAUCAUGGUGCAGCUGUCCCCACCUCCACAUCCUGCCUGCCAUGAUGGGUUAUGUCUAGAUAUCGUUUUUAAAAGACAACAAUAUUCCAUGGUGUGUGGGUGUGUGUCUAUUCCCUCACCUGCAAUGGCCUAAAGGUGGCUAAUGUAAUAACACCAGCAUGGACCUUUUCCUUGAGCUGUAGACAUAAUGGCAUUUGGCAGGGGAGCUACCAUCGUUUGGCCAUUUUCUGAACAAUGUGAUGGUUCCCUCUGUCUCUUUCAUGUCAGGGAGAACUGAGUCCCUUUGGGCUGGUACAAAAGGAUAUGUGAGGGACAGGGUUUAGAAGGGAAGGAAGAACCAGCCACCACAUCUUCCCCACUAUGAUAUCCUGUAACCUUCACAAUGAAAUAAACUCUUCCUUUUUAAGAUUUUUUAAGCUAUCUUCCCCAGCAAUAGGAAAAGUUGAUCCUAACGAUUUAAAACAAUAGCAUUACCCUUGAGUUGUAGGAUCAUAACAGGGUUGACCCAAAAUUUGCCCUCUAAAUCUUCUAAGCAGUAGGGUCCAUUUUUUGUGUUGAUUUGUUUGAUUAGAUUUUUAAGUUAUGCACAUGUAGUGUCUUUUAAAAUUAAAACCUGCCAAGUGUGAUGGCACAUGCCUUCAAUCCCAGCACUUGGGAGGCAAAAUCAGGCAGAUCUCUGUGAGUUCAAGACCAGUCUAUUCUACUUAAGGAGUUACAGGACAUUCAGGGCUGCAUGAUGAGAUCCUGCCUCAAAAAUAAAAUAAACAAACAACAAAAUUAGAAGCCAUACUUUAUGUAUAUCAGUACAGUUUACUUAUUGACAUGAUGAUAGAAUAUUUUGGUACAGUUUUAAACAGAAGAAAAAAGGGAAAUUCUCAUGUUACAAAACCCUGUCCUCACAAGCAAGCAAACAAACAGACAAAAAUCACCUUUCCUAAAUGGGUCAAUCAGACAAAUGGACUCAGUGACUAGUAGUGUCUAAUGGUCCAUAGCACUGGUUCUCAACCUUCCUAAUGCUGUGACCCUUUAAUACAGUUCCUCAUGUUGUGGUGACUCCAACCAUAAAGUUAUGUCAUUGCCACUUCAUAACCGUAAUUUUGCUACUGUUAUGAAUUGUAAUGCAAACAUCUGAUCUAUGAUACGUGACCUCUGUGGGGGUCGCGGCCCACUUGUUGCGAACCGCUGGCCUAUAACAUUAGAAGUCGGCUUUCUUUUAACCCCACCUACCAAAUAUUAGAGUGCCAUUUUGAAGGGUUCAACAUAUUUGCUUCUGUGGCAGAGUGGGAACUUGAGGCUCCCACAGAUUUGUGUUCUCAGAGCCUUUGUGGGUGCAGAGGGGGUGGGGUUGCUGGGAAUGUGGGACCAUCUAUUCAUUCUCCAUAGGCAAGUGGUAUCAGAUCCUGGGAUUUCCUUUAUGUUCUCAGGAAUGUGCAGAGUGAGCUCCCCAGGCUGUCCUAUUGUUGGGCUGUGUGCUUAAGAGAGAUAAGGUGACAGAACACUGGUGUUCCACGGGGCCUGCCCAGCUGCGUCCUAUGCCAUCAGCUCCAGCGCCCCACAGGGGGCGGGGGAGCCACAGAUGACAGGCAGCUGCGAGUCAUCUGCUGUGGGAACAAUAUCAGCUGGCAGCUCGCCCUCCUUCUGAGAUAUUUGCCUUAAAGUUCCACGGGGGUGAGGGUAGGGCUUGAAGGGGUCGUAUUUAUAGUUUGUGCUAUAAAUAAGUUGUCUUGGGCAGCUGCUGUCCAACUGACUUUUUGAAUGUGAACAUCAUGAUUGAAAGGGUCAGAUGAUCUCCAGAAAGCGCUAAGGCCUCCUUAUUCCAUCCCUGAGUUCUGCUGGCACUUUCCCUCACUCCUGUGGCAUGUGGAAGUCUCCAUGGCACACCUACCCACUUCACCCCACCCUUCUCUUGUACAUCUUAUGGUUAGUACACUCUCAUCAGACCUGUCAGAACGCAGAGCUACCUGGUAUAAGCCUCUGACACAUGUUCCCUUGGAUGGAGUGGAAAGACAGGAGGGGGUCCCAACCUGCCAAGGAUGCUUCUUGGAGUGGUCUUUGGCACUAGCAACUUCAUGUAUAUUUAAUGAAGAAAUAGCAGGUGACCCGGGCUGAUAUUGAGACAUCUGAGCUGCUACCCUGGGUUGAGGAAAGUGAACAACUAACUCAGCCACAGCAUUGGCUCUCUGAAAUGGGAAUCCCACGUGUGGGAACCUCUCUGGUGGUGCUGGGUCAUGUGUGCAGAGCAAAGAGUGGGAACUAAUCAAAAGUCCACCUAUAGGGGCUAGAGAGAGGGCUCCUUUGUGAAAGCACUUGCUGCUCUUGCAGAGGAAGGGAUUCAGCUCCCAGCACCCAGGUGGGGCUGCCUUCAUGAACGGACAAAUAUGCCAGUGGGAUCAUAAUUUGAUGGCAUUAUUGGGAGGUGGUGGAGAGUAGGCAGAGCCUGGCUGGAGGAAGUACGGUCUUGGGAGCACACCCAAGAGAGAUGUGUCUAGUCCACAUCCCCCCCACCCUCUGUGCCAGCUGCCUAACUAACCUCUCUUCUGUAGGUGUCUAUAUGUGAACCCCCCCACCCCAGCCUCGAGUCUUGGCUUAAGUCUCUUGUUUUGCCUAUCAGGACUGGGGCUUUGGUCAAGCUUGCUAGUUCUAGUAUUGGCUAUAUUAAACUAUUACUCUCUGGAAUUUUCUCUAGUUUUAUGCCCAAACUGCUUUUACUCAUUCUUAUGUCCAUCUUGAGAUCCAGAAAUUCAAGGCCAGAACCUAGACUUGGUCCCAUCUAUGCAGGGACACCAGGCAUUUGUGUACUUGCUGUCUGACCAUCUCUCCUCCCCUGGGAUUCUACUACACUUUGGGUACACACCAGGCCUGGACCAAGCAAGAUGCCACACAGGGUGAGGGCAAAGGCACAGACAAGCAUCCCUUCUGUGUCAGGCUAACAAUUGUCUGGGCCAGAGGUCAACAGUGUCAUAAAGUCUUACCACAAAGUCACAUGGAAUAGCAGGAAUCUGGGGCAGAAAAGAGUCCUCUAGAGGAAAAAGGCAGCUCUAUUAGCAUGGAAACGCUUCCAGGGGACUCCUCCAGAGAAAAAGGCUGUCCUAUUAGCCUGGAAACAUUUCCAGGGGACUCCUUAUCUAUGGGAUCUGCUCAGCCUGACUCCUUCCUCCCAAACCUCCUCAGAGAUAACAGUUGAUUUUCCUUCUCCCUCAUCCUCCCCUUCCUCUCCCUAAACUCAUGGAGGCAGGACCUAGGUUCAUCUCAAGGUGAUGAGAAGAGACUGGCCCAUAUGAGUUGCCUCUGGCUGUUGGCAUCGGUAGUAGGGGUUACAUGGGCAGUAUUUACUCCACCAUCACUGGCUGCAGUCUCAAGUAACUCUGUACAAACCGGAGGCGCCAAGUCCUUUCCCAGUGUCCUACCUGGAGCAUGAGAUUUCAGUCUCCAUUGUCUUGGGCUCACUUGUCAGGUGGGGCGUGUUUCAGAGAGGACAAAUAGAGUAAGUGAGAUAAGGGUUAAACACUGAACGGAGGGAGUGUGCUCGGCCACUGGAACUCUCACUUCUGCCAGGGCCUGCGGCUGGCUGUGCAUCACCAAAGGGAUGGGAACUGGAAGCAGAAGCUUCGUUUCCCUCUACUGCUGCUCCGGCCAGGGGACCAGGAAGUGGGCAGGAAGGAAGGAAUGGUGGCAUUCUGCCCUUUAGGCCUACAAAGCCACUCUGGCUCACUGUAAGCCAGCCUCUUGCCCUGUCCAGAAGAUCUGCGUCUGGUCCAUAGCUCACCUGCCUCUGACUCAAAAGAUGAGAGUUCCCUCUGACCCCUUCUCAUCUGUAAAGAUCCUGCCCCACAGGAAAGAUAAUACCUUAAUACUUGUCAGAGGCUGACACAGGGCUGACUGGCAGACACUGCUUAUUAUAAUACUAGUUAAUUGUCAUUUCAGUGAGCCAGAGAUCUUAAGGGAUGAGCAGAAUCCACCCUGAAAAAGGAAAGAAAGGUUGAAAAUACCCUGAAAAGAGCCCGUAAUUUCAACAGGUAGAGGCACCUUGAGAGGUAGAGGCAAGAGGAUGAGGAGGAGUUCAGUGCUCCAUUGCAAUUGAGGGCCAUUACAGCUGGCUCCCUACCCCCAUGCACAUAGGUACUGGGGAUCAAACUCAGUUCCUCAGGCUUACACAAGCACUUCACCAAUGAGCUGCCUUCCCACCCCAGCAUCAGUUUCUUCGUGUGUGGUCUGCAGUCUAGAUUUUUUUAUUUCUCUGAGCUACAAGUCAGUAAAUGCCCCUUGCAAUCAUGAGUGUUUAUGUCUAAUAUUCUACACCCCCCACCACACUUUUGAGACAAGUCCUUACUGUGUAGCUUAGGCUAGCCUCAGACUCAUGAUCCUCCUGCGUCAGUCAGCCUCUGGAGCACAGGAAUAACAGGCACACAUGUCUAUGCCAGCUUUGUCACUCAUAUUUUAAAGAGGAAAAAACUGAGGCUCACUCAGGUAGAAGCGACUUGUCCUAGGCUUUCCAUUAGGCUUGUCCUAGGCUGCCCACUGAGAGCCAGGUCUCAGCAAAGCUCCACCCUUGCUAUACCUUGUUGCCAUGGUCCCUCACAACUGCUCCCUCCCUUCGGCAUCCCUGGGGCCUCUGUCACGCUCCCCUGACCCAGUGCCAUCCCAGGCCUGGUGAGAUCAUGUCUUCCGAAGGCGCCACCUUGGUUCCAUUUUGCAGUUAGAAUGAGACUAUCAUUUCAGGAACCUCAAAGUGACAAGUCCCAGACACCAAGAUUAUGAAAAAUCAGUGUCUCAUUGGGAUCUUAAUUGCAUUAAGUCACCAGGCAGCUGAUGCUGGACACAGCCACACCUCUGGACAAGACUCCUGAUGCUGCUGUCAAUGUCACUGCUUUAUCCUCUGCUUCUGCCUCUGUCUGUGUCUUUGCCACCCCCACACCCCAUCUUUCUCUUCCUCUCUCCAAUUCUCAGGCAGGGCAACAGGAAGCCUCAAAUGGAGAGGAUCCCCAUAGAACGCAGAUUCAUUACAAGAAGACUCAAGGCUCAGAACAAAGCAGUUAUUCUACAGGCUGAGUGAGCUUCCUGCCUAGUUUCAGGGCUGUCCAUGGAGCAGCAGGGUGCAGGGUGUGUAAAAUCUCAGGAUUGUUACCAAUGCUGGAAGAUCAAUGCUGGGCUGAUUUCAGCUGGGGGAGUAAAGGCUAAGAGCACUCUUAGUGGUUAUUUGGUCCUGCUUGCCAAGAGUGUAGCCCAUCACAGAGUUACACAGGGUGUAGCAGACAGAAGCUGUGGUGGGUGAAGGGGCAUCAGUAUGUGGUGGGCCAGGAGGGGCUACCCUGCAAAGUGUAUCCGGGCUUAACAUUUCCCACUAUCCAGAUAUUCACAUGUCACUUAGCAACUUGUUCUGGAGCGUUCCCUCUGGGCUGGUUCCUGCAGGCUCUGAUUCCACUCAUCCCUGCGGAGUAGUCAGUGUGGCUAUACUCUUCUAGGGGCUCCUGAAGCUUCUUUAGAUUGGGGACUACAUCUCAGUCACCCCUGGUCUUUGAGCCAGGCAUGCAAUUUUUUUUCAACAUGUGAAUCAAGGAAUCCUUCAUAAAACGAAACCGGCCAAUGCAGAGAACAGGUGCCUAUGCCGUCCAGAUGUGAGCUCUGUUUCUCUGACUCUCCAGACACAUCUUCCCCUAUAGCUUGUAUUCUGCCCCGAGUGAUGAGAAACCAUAACCUUGAGUAGACCUUUGUCCUGGGUUUCUUCCUUUUCUUUCCCAAUGGGCUCAAGAGUAUGGAAUGAAAUUCUUGCUUAUUCUCAACUUCAUACUACUGAGGCUUUGCCCUCACAGUCAUGCAGUCUUCAUGCACAAAGUCUCACCUGGGAUUUCUUCAGCAUAUACACCUUAUUAAAAAAUAAUCAGAGCUGGAGGAAUGGCUCAGCUCAAAAAAUGCUUGCUGUGCAAACAAUGCCAUUCCCCAGUAGCUCCCUCUGCUUUGUGCUUGUGGAUAGAUGUAGUGGCAUCUUUUUCUGUCGAUAGACUUGAGGUAAUGGCUUUAGGGUGUGGCUUCAGUGUACAAAAGUGAUCCCUUGUAAGGAAGAGGAGCAGCUCUGUCUUGGGUUGUGGUCUCAGCAUCCUGGAUUGCAGACACUGCGCCUCCAGGGGCUGAAGAUGCCAGUGGUUAUUUACCAUCGUUAUGUGAGUGCUCCCUAAAUAAAUAUCUGUCAUUCUUUA